UUUCCCUCAGGAUAGCUGGCACUCGCUUGAGCGAGUCUCAUCUGGUAAAGCGAAUGAUUAGAGGCCUUGGGGCCGAAACGACCUCAACCUAUUCUCAAACUUUAAAUGGGUGAGAUCUCUGGCUUGCUUGAACGUUGAAGCCACGAGAUUAUAUUGCAAUGGAUCAGAGUGCCAAGUGGGCCAAUUUUGGUAAGCAGAACUGGCGCUGUGGGA
rnacentral:rRNA from 1 species